rnacentral:rRNA from 1 species
UAUUGCACAAUGGGGGAAACCCUGAUGCAGCGACGCCGCGUGAGUGAAGAAGCGUUUCGGCGCGUAAAGCUCUGUCAGCGGGGAAGAAANACGGUUCGCGAGAGCCGCGGACGGUACCCGACUAAGAAGCCCCGGCUAACUACGUGCCAGCAGCCGCGGUAAUACGUAGGGGGCAAGCGUUAUCCGGAUUUACUGGGUGUAAAGGGAGCGUAGACGGCGAUGCAAGUCUGAAGUGAAAGGCGGGGGCCCAACCCCCGGACUGCUUUGGAAACUGUAUGGCUGGAGUGCAGGAGAGGUAUGUGGAAUUCCUAGUGUAGCGGUGAAAUGCGUAGAUAUUAGGAGGAACACCAGUGGCGAAGGCGGCUUACUGGACUGUAACCGACGUUGAGGCUCGAAAGCGUGGGGAGCAAACAGG